UUGCUUUGGCAGCACAUACACUAAAAAUUAGAAUGAUACAGAGUAGAUUAGCAUUGCACCUGUACAAGGAUGACACACAAAUUCAUGAAGUAUUCAAAAAAAAA